CAGAGGAACUAUCACCAGAGCAACCAUCACCAGAGGAACUUUCACCAGGGGAACCAUCGCCAGAGGAACCUUUACCAGAGGAACCAUCAUCAGAGGCAAACGAUAUAUAUAUGGACGAACCUGAGGAAACUGAGCCACCAGAAAUCAUCAACCAGCCAGUAGUGUCUCAGGAAAAACUUUUCCGGGAUCCUGACUGGGUCACAUGCUCCAGUUGCUCAGGAGUCGUUCGCACAGUCGUCAAGCACAACGUCACUGGCACCACCUGGAUUCUGUGCGUCACACUUUCUUCCAUUGGGUGUAUGUUUGGGUGCUGCCUCGUCCCAUUCUGUGUAAAAAAAUGGAAGGACGUCAGCCAUCACUGUCCCAACUGUAAGGCAAAGAUUCACAGCGUACCCAUGUUUUGAGAUGGGCUCUGGGACAAAGCUGGGCUGAGACGUGACUGUGGGGUCAAGGCGAUUGGAUGGCUGUUGGCGAUGGGAGUCGGUCCAGUGGUCUCUGAAAGUUUUCCUGAAACUAACUGAUCGAGGACAGUAAAUGCAAAUUGUCAGUGCCUGUGAUGACUCGACCUGUGAUCUGGAUAUACAGUAGGCUUCUUUGGAACACAGCAAUAACCAGAAUGCUUACGUGUACAUACUGAUUUAUGACAAGGAUGAUGUGUUUAUGACAAUGGCAAUUUCCUGUUGAGUUAUCACUUCUGUAUCUACAUGACCUUAGUCUAAGUCCAAUGAGAGUAUGCCAUUCAGUUAAACCCUUUGGAAUAACCUGUCCUUGACAUGUGCAUACCACUGAAACAAAUAACUAUCAAAUAAGGAAAAAGGGAAAUAUAUAAAAAUGCUUAAAAAUAGAAUUGCUUGCAUUAAUGUGCAAAGAUCAAUAAUUGCUAGUCUUCCCACUGUGAACUUCUAUAUAAAUUAGCAUGGAACUAAAACCUCUUCUUGUUUUGUGAACAUUUACUAUUACUUGGAUAAACUGUGAAAUAAAACAAUGACAUUAUUUUGAUGAAUGACCCUCUCUGAUGUGAUGUUAGUGUUUUGGCUUUUGAACUGUAAUUUUUUUUAAAAUAAAU